UACGUAGGUGGCAAGCGUUGUCCGGAUUUACUGGGCGUAAAGAGCGCGCAGGCGGUCGUUCAAGUCGUGUGUGAAAGCCCCCGGCUCAACUGGGGAGGGUCACGCGAUACUGAUCGACUCGAAGGCAGGAGAGGGGAGUGGAAUUCCCGGUGUAGUGGUGAAAUGCGUAGAUAUCGGGAGGAACACCGGUGGCGAAGGCGGUUCUCUGGGCCUUACCUGACGCUGAGGAGCGAAAGCGUGGGGAGCGAACAGG
rnacentral:rRNA from 1 species